rnacentral:rRNA from 1 species
GAUGAACGCUGGCGGCGUGCUUAACACAUGCAAGUCGAACGAACCAUUUAGGACAGAUUACUUCGGUUGUAAGCGCCUUAUGACUGAGUGGCGGAUGGGUGAGUAACGUGUGGGUAACCUGCCUUGUACUGGGGGAUAGCAUCAGGAAACGGAUGGUAAUACCGCAUAAGCGUACAAAGUUGCAUGACAUGGUGCGAAAAACUCUGGUGGUAUAAGAUGGACCCGCGUCUGAUUAGCAAGUAGCGGAGUUAACAGCCCACCAAGGCGACGAUCAGUAGCCGAGAUGUGAGGGUGGCCCGCCACUUUGGCAGUGAGCCGCGGUACAGAAUCCUACGCGAGGCGGGAGUGGGGGACAGUGCAACAUGGAGGAAACUAUGAUGCUGCGCCGACGGGUGAGUGCAGAAGUAAUUCAUUAUGUAAAGCUCAAUCAACUAGGCAGAUAGUGACGGUACCUGACCAAAAAGCUACGGCUAACUACGUG